ACAAGAGUAAAUGCUCACAGGUGUAGAACAUUCUGCUUUUUCAUCUUUACAGUAGUAUAAGGGCAUCACCUCUUGAGUAGGGACCACGCUCAGAGUGAUCGUUCCAGGCGGAUGCUGUACAGCACAGAGCUCCCUUGCAGAUGCUGGGCAGCAGCCGUGAGCUGCGGGUCCAGCAGGUUCCUGGAUGGCCGCCUCAAAGGCUUGCUCUCUGCAGCUGAAGUGAUGCUGACCUCUGAUGCCAGAUGUGGUUAUUCCUUGUUCAGAGUACCAAUGCUACAACAUCAGGACCACUUUGUUAUCAUUUAGCAACCAUUUCGGUCAUCAGAGCAUCUUGUGCAACAUUUACUGAACUUCUUCCAUCCUGUAGUCAUCCAACAUCACAAGACUAGAGACUCAUCAAUUGCCUCAUUCAUCUGUUAAACACAGAAGGCUUCAUCCCUGUAUGCACGAUCUCCUGGACCACAGACAAGAAGAGUAGAUAGGAACUCAGCCUUAGCCACCUGCCAGCCCUGUGCACUGGACUGUUCUCUGAGCUUCAAUUUUCUCAUUUGGAACCAGGGAGGAGAACGUGCACCUUGGGCUUUAAGAGGAAGUGCUUGAUAGGAUAAUGUACCAAAGAUGAAGCUUGACCCAUGGAACCUUCCCCUGACCGAAGAGGAAGAGUAACUCCCAUCAUCUUAGUCCCAGGCAAGAGGCUGCCGGAAUGGUUCUGACCUUGGGCAGUGCCCUUUACCUGUGCUUCCUGGAUGAGCUGGGAUGCAGGAGAGUCAGACACCAAGCAGAGUAGACAGCACGGCAGAGAUGUUUAACUUCCUAGAGAAGGAGAGAGGGUUUGGAGUUAGUUGAGAGUAAAGCCAGGGUUGGGCUUCCUAAGUGAACAUGACAUCCAGUGUCCUCAGCCACUGUGAUCUCCAGCCAAGGCUACCGUUGCUUUUUAUCAGUUCUAGCAAAGGGCUGGGUAGGAUGGGCCUCUGUCUGGCAUCGGAUCAAACUCUUGGCUCCUUCUCCACUUAACCUGCUAGCAGUUGCCCAUCUUGUUUACUGGCUCAGGAAGUGCUUGGGUGGUACCACCAGGGUAUCUGGUGUCGACAGAUACAUUCUGUUGUCAAUCAUGUCUGGCUUCCAGUUCUGGCUUUGGGGAUAUCAACUGCAUCUCCCCGCAUCUCCGCUUCCUCUUCUGUAUAAUGGGGCUUUAAUGGUGCCUACCUCCUGUGUGCCAGCUGGAUCCUGGCUGCAGAGGCACAUAGAUGAGAGCCCCUUAGAUCCUAAUUACAUCCCUCACUUCAGUCCUGGUGGUGCCAAUCUUGCUGCCAGAUACCAGCGUUGGCUCAUCUGUGUCUGUUCCCAGGCCUUUCCCAAGGUCUGGCAAUGUCAGUGUCCGGCCAGUGUUUGUUGACUGAGCCUGCUCCCAUGGUCUGGUAGACCUGUCUUUACACACUGAGGAUUAGAGAGGUCCAAUUUAAUGGAGAGCAGGGGUGAGAGGCAGUUGAUGUGAUGGUCCAGCUCACAGGGAGGUAAUCAUGGAGCUGGGAUCCUAACCCAGAGUCCACAAACUGUCCAUCCAGCUGCUGAACUCAGGGCCUGGUGGGCCUCUUCCUGGACAGGCACCAGAUGUAGGUUAUUGAGGGGGGCAGCAAUAUCUGUUUACCCAGUUCCUCCCAGUGUAACCUAUUACUUCCUCCUGGACUCUCCCCAUCUUCUUUCCAGUAACAGUCCUACUUCAGGUACAACUGUCAUUUAACAAAAUGGGGGCUGAGGUUCAGAGGACCACUGACCCCUCUCCCGUAUCCUAUGUGACUAUGCUUAACCUUCAGCACACACAGCUUCAGCCCUUAGCCCCACUGUUGGCAUAGGGGCUCCUUCAGGCUGCUCCCCAGCCUGAGCAGGUUAGGACUUGUGGCAGUCAAAAGCGUCAACUCUCAGACUGACUAGCUCCUUUCACAGGCUAGCUAUUCUAACUGCACAAGGGGAGGGUCUGUUUCAGCACUGUCUUAAACGGCUCACUAUCUGACCAGUCCAGGGUCAUAGCUUCCUUCUGCAGAGGAUGACAAAGAGGCUCAAUAAGGAUUUGACCCACAGUUGAAGCUCAGAUCCCCACCGGCCUUCUCCAAAAAGCAAGAUGUGAAGAGCUGCCAAGAAAGCAGCCAACUGAAAUACACCGUGAGGUCCCACUCUACUACAGGCUUGUCAAGGCUAGUCCUCCCCAGGGGUAGCAGGGACUUCCCUGAGAAAACGAGCUGGGGGCUGAAACCUAGAGAGACCAAGAGAACGGCUGAAUGGAAAGGGCUUGCCGGGGAGAGGGAACAGCACCUGCAAACUCAUGCAGAGUGUGGUCCUGUAGGUGGCUGGCCUUGAAGUGGGGGUCCUCAGGGCCCACUUGUAAGGAGCCUUAGAGCAGCCAGGGAGAGAACCCUUGAUGGGGCUCAGAGUUGCGUCUCUGGGGUAAUGAGGGAUGGGAUUUAGGUGCAGGGGAAGGAGGGAGCUUGGCAUAGUCUUGCCAGGGUUUGGGCAGAUAGAUGCAUGGGGCAGACACUCUGAGUAUGGAGAUGGGAGAAGCAGAAGCAGGCUCCGUGCUUGAGGAGGUGUGGGGUUGGGGAAGAAGGGACUCGGCCUCCUGGGCUGGGUACAAUAGAGACAUGGGAGAGGUUGUAGAUCACCCAUCCUGGGAAGAUCUCUGAUAGAGCUCAAGAAAAUCUCCGUGGCAGGCUCUGGUCCCAGCCGCAGCUUCUGUCCUAGCCUUGGCAGCUACUAGAUUGUUCCCCAGUGUCAACCUCACUCUGUUGAACUUGGCAACGCCAGCCUCUAAGGGCUCCCACCACUCCUGCCCUCGCUGGUCACUCCAUUUCCAUCCUGCGACCUGGCUGAGUCUCCCAUGACCCAGGGUAUCUGCCCUUUCUGUUUCUUUUGCCCCUGGUGCUGCGCGCUUGCCCUUAGAAUAUAUAGAACUUGGC